CAAAGGUAUGGUCCCGACCUUAUUAUCAGCUCUAAUAUAACUUACACAUGCAAGUCUCCGCAACCCAGUGAGUACGCCCUUAACCUCCCACCCGAGGAAGAGGAGCAGGCAUCAGGCACAUAAAACUAGCCCAAGACGCCUAGCCUAGCCACACCCCCAAGGGAAUUCAGCAGUGAUAAAUAUUAAGCCAUGAGUGAAAACUUGACUCAGUUAAUGUUAAGAGAGCCGGUAAAACUCGUGCCAGCCACCGCGGUUAGACGAGAGGCCCUAGUUGAUAAUUUAACGGCGUAAAGGGUGGUUAAGAACAAGUAAUAAAUAAAGCCAAAUGGCCCUUUGGCCGUCACACGCUUCUAGAUGUCCGAAACCCCAACACGAAAGUAGCUUUAACUUCACCUGACCCCACGAAAGCUGAGAAACAAACUAGGAUUAGAUACCCUACUAUGCUCAGUCGUAAACUUAGACAUCCACCUACAAUUAGAUGUCCGCCAGGGUACUACAAGCAUUAGCUUAAAACCCAAAGGACUUGACGGUGUCUCAGACCCCCUAGAGGAGCCUGUUCUAGAACUGAUAACCCCCGUUAAACCUCACCACUCUUAGCCGUCCCAGCCUAUAUACCGCCGUCGCCAGCUUACCCUGUGAAGGUAACAAAAGUAAGCAAAAUGGGUACAACCCAAAACGUCAGGUCGAGGUGUAGCGCAUGAAGUGGAAAGAAAUGGGCUACAUUUUCUAUCACAGAAUACUACGAAUAUGCACUAUGAAAUUAAUGCUUGAAGGAGGAUUUAGUAGUAAAAGGGGAAUAGAGAGUCCCUUUGAACCCGGCUCUGAGACGCGCACACACCGCCCGUCACUCUCCCCUGUCAAAAUGCACCAGAAAUAUAUAAUAAGACAGUACCGACAAGGGGAGACAAGUCGUAACACGGUAAGUGUACCGGAAGGUGCACUUGGAUUAAACC
rnacentral:ncRNA from 1 species